CAGUCGCCGCGGUAAUACGUAGGGUGCAAGCGUUGUCCGGAAUUAUUGGGCGUAAAGAGCUCGUAGGCGGUUUGUCGCGUCUGCUGUGAAAUCUGGGGGCUCAACCCCCAGCCUGCAGUGGGUACGGGCAGACUAGAGUGCGGUAGGGGAGAUUGGAAUUCCUGGUGUAGCGGUGGAAUGCGCAGAUAUCAGGAGGAACACCGAUGGCGAAGGCAGAUCUCUGGGCCGUAACUGACGCUGAGGAGCGAAAGCAUGGGGAGCGAACAGGAUUAGAUACCCCAGUAGUCCCUGUCUCUUAUAC
rnacentral:rRNA from 1 species